GUGGGGAAUAUUGGGCAAUGGGGGAAACCCUGACCCAGCAACGCCGCGUGAAGGAAGAAGGUUUUCGGAUCGUAAACUUCUAUCCUUGGUGAAGAUAAUGACGGUAGCCAAGAAGGAAGCCCCGGCUAACUACGUGCCAGCAGCCGCGGUAAUACGUAGGGGGCAAGCGUUGUCCGGAAUGAUUGGGCGUAAAGGGCGCGUAGGCGGCCUGGUAAGUCUGGAGUGAAAGUCCUGCUUUUAAGGUGGGAAUUGCUUUGGAUACUGUCGGGCUGGAGUGCAGGAGAGGUAAGCGGAAUUCCCGGUGUAGCGGUGAAAUGCGUAGAGAUCGGGAGGAACACCAGUGGCGAAGGCGGCUUACUGGACUGUAACUGACGCUGAGGCGCGAAAGUGUGGGGAGCAAACAGGAUUAGAUACCCUUGUAGUCC
rnacentral:rRNA from 1 species